CGGCCCCCACAACGGCUUCCUGGCGUGGCGCGGCCCUGAACCCAAUGGAGCA
rfam:Paracoccus sphaerophysae strain HAMBI 3106 Contig_87, whole genome shotgun sequence.